CUUUUGAAAAAUUAUUACAAAUGCGCAUAUCAUGAAAUGUUGUGGAAGACAGAUUCAAAGAUGUCAAAUUUCCCACAGUGAACGUAUAAAAAAACAAUAUCUACUUGGAAAAUUUACAGCCCAUGACUGGGAUAUCAAGCAAGUAAUUUACAUUAAAAAAAAGGGGGAGAGAAUCAAAAUGAAUAUGUAUACAGACAACCAAUCUCAUGACUAAAAAAAUUAUAAAAGGUGAAAAUUUAGCUCUACACUAUGGUUAUCUGCCUUCAUUUCUAUCAGAAUGUGAAAGAAAAGAAGUUGAACCAGCUUCAAUAUCAACAUCCCCAUGAUCACCCCCACAUGACCAUGUAUUGAGCUUCUCAAAAUUUGAUGACAGUGGAAAUGAAUGCACAUAAUCUUCAAACUCCCCACCGCUACCACCAUCACCCUUUUUCCCAUCAUAUGCAUCUGGGGCUGCAACCACCUCAGGCAAUGACACUUCUCCCUCUAGGUACCUCACAACCUGCCUCAUUGAAGGCCUCAUGUUGGGUGUGUUGUUGGAACACAUUAGCCCCAAUUUCAACACAACAACAGCCUCAAGCUCAUCAAACUCAUCAUUCAAUCUUGGAUCCACGACGUCGAGAAUUGCACCACUUUUCCAUUUCUCCCACACCCAGUCCACCAAAAUGAGCUCCUCAGGCAACGCUUUAGGCUCAAUAGGUCUCCUUCCACACACCACUUCAAGCAGCAGUGCACCAAAUGCAAACACAUCUGAGCUAGUAGUAGGCUUGCCUGUUCUUGUUAGCUCGGGUGCUAAGUAACCCAAAGUGCCUACCACCCUAGUGGUGCUAGGAUUACUGCCUCGCUCAUAUAAUUUGGCAAGGCCAAAGUCACCAAGUCUUCCAUUUAGCUCAGAAUCUAACAGCACAUUGCCUGCCUUUAUGUCUCUAUGAAUCACAGUCUGUUCCCAUCCUUCAUGCAAAUACAGAAGGCCAGAAGCAACAUCUUUAAUAAUAUUGAACCUUUGUUCCCACUUGAGAAUGGCUUGAGGCUCAUCAAACAAGUACUUGUCUAAGCUCCCAUUAGGCAUGAAAUCAUAGACAAGUAGUAAGUCACCUCGCCGGCGACACCAGCCCAGCAACUGAACCAAAUUUCUGUGUCUAAGACGACCAAUACUAGCAAUCUCAGACAUAAAUUCCCUCACACCUUGUUUAGAUUCAUGAGAGAUUCGCUUGACUGCAACUUGAGUACUAGAAUUUGGUAGAGUUCCUUUAUAAACUUUGCCAAAUCCACCAAACCCAAGAAGCUCUUUGUCUCUGAAGCCCCUUGUUGCUUUCUUGAGUUCUUGAUAAGAAAACCUAUGAGGACCAACAUCGAACUCCCAUUCCUCUAUCACAUCUGCAUUCUUGAUCUUUCUAAUGAGGUAAAAAGACAUAGCAACGACCAAGAUUAUGAACAAAACAGCUGAAAAUGUGACAGCUGCAAUCAACACUUUGUGACUCUUUUUAGGCCCAGGAAGAGAAGGAAGAGAAGACAGAGAUAAAGUUUGAGCCAUUCCAUUCAUAGUAAAACUCCAUCCAAGAAUAUAGUGAGUGCUUGCCAGCAAACCGGUUGAUGAAGAGAACCCAACAUACAUAUAAUCUUGGAGGAAAGGAGAAAGAUCUACUUCGAAAGACAAGAUGGGAGAUCUUGGUUUUAUAGAAGAAGGUGAAAGCCUGACCUCUAUUAGAUUCUGGGUUGAGUUAUAAUCAACCCAAGCUUGAAAGGCCCUACCACUCUGGAGAGUCAAAUUCACCAUAGUAGAAUUAUCAAGAAAAUAAGCAGCAGGAACAGAUCUAUUUGAUAUCAUGCUAUUUAUAUCAAUACCAACAUGGUUAUCAUUUAUAUCACCAAACUCAAAAUCUUGAACUGUAUCAAAUUCAACUGCGAAGAUGUGAUUGGAGAAAUUACCAAUAUCGCUUGCAUUGAGUAGGCCUAGGUACUGGCUUGGAAGAGACCCUGGGAGCUCCUUUGAGGGAGAGAUGGUGAAAGCAAAACCAUGGCCGCCGAGCUUUGGGUAUUCAGGAACUAUGGCGAAAGCAAAGGCGGUGGAGAAGGAGAGAGCUCUGCCAGUGCUAGAGUUCUUGAAUUGGAUUUUAUUGGAGUAAAAAGCAUGGCCUUUCAAGCGGAGAGUGUCGUUUGUUAAGCGAAGUAUGCCAUUAUCUUCAAUCUCAGCACCAUCAUAUAUGCUCAUGUUGCUCUUGGCAUGAUGAAAACCAUGGGAGAAGAGCUCAUCUAGCUGGGAAAAAACUGGGUUCGAAAGAAAAAAGAGAAAAAACGAGAAAAAAGACAGUUUCUGGGACAUUAUAGAAAGAAAGAUUGAGAUUUCUGAAACAGGGGAUGUUCUGUUUUCUGCAAGAUUGAAAAAGUUCUGAAACUUUGGUUCCUGUCACAUUUUCAGCAUGUGUUUAAACUUGGUUUAGAAAAGAAGAGGAGGAAGAACAAGAAGAAGAGGAAAGAGAUUUGUGGGUGCUUCUUGGAUGGUGAAGGGGAGAUCUAAGAUUUUAUCUUACAUGGGUCUGUAAUUGAAGUCUUGUGGAUAGUGACUAUAAGCAACUCAGCAUAAGAGUCCAUUUUUGCCUCACCCACCAGUUUGGAAACCAUGGAAUAAAGCCAUAUAUUGUUG
rnacentral:misc_RNA from 1 species